rnacentral:misc_RNA from 1 species
AGGCAACCGGAUGCUUUACAUAAUUAUGAAAUCAGUUCGUAAACAAACAAAAGGCUGUGAUGAACAUUUCACUAAGCAUAACCUUAAUUAUUUAAUGAAAAUAGUUUGAAAUAUUCCAAUAUGUGCAUCAGCAUUAGUCAAUGUCAAUUAAGAAUGGUAGGAGGAAAGUAAAUUGAAAGCUUUGCCAGAAUUGAGUGGAGAGCUUGAAACUAUUGCUAGUAAUCCACAAUAUCCUUCAUUUUUGGAUCAGGAUAUAAAAAUUUUCAUCAGAAUUUUAUGAGAUGAAGAACCACAGUUCAUUGCUGAAAAAACCACCCAUGUAUGUAUUUUCAUGUCAUGCCGAAGGGUCAUUUUGUAUAUUUUAAUGUACGUAUUUUUAUAUAUAUCCUGUAUUACUUUUUAUGAAGGUAGCCAAUCUAAAUUUUUUUCCUUUACUCUUUUAUAUUUUUUUUAUUCAUACAUUGUCUAUUAUUUAGUUUACAUAACUGAUGAACUUAAUGAACACAGUUAAUAGUCAUUGAUAUGGGUUUAAAAUAACAAAAUUUGAGCAGUAUUUAAAAAAAUAAUCCCAUUGUUGCUAAUGUCGGUAGGUUGUGUGUGUAUGAAAUCAACCUCAUUUUAAUGUCUUGGCAGAAUAAUCAGGUUUUCUCUAUUUACGCUUGAUCUCAGUUUGUUUUUAUAUUCAAGACUGCUGUUUUUAAAAAUUAGAUUAAAUCAGGGUUAGUAAUUGUCCUGAUGAUCUUGAUGUUCCUGAUAUAAAGUAUUUUAUCCGUAUUUGUCCUGAAUUUUGUGUGUGUAUUGAAUAUUCGAUUUUCCAGGAAUGAAAAUGCAGAUUUUUGAGAAAGUAGAUUUAAAGAUUUGAAAAAUUUUGAUCCAAUAUCCUUUUUCUUUUUUAAAUGCUUGUCAUUAUCGCAAUAUUUGAUAGUUCCAAUAUAGGGACUGUCUAUUGAUUAUUUACAUGGUUUAGAUAUUUAGAGUCUUACCCAGAGAAUUCAU